rnacentral:tRNA from 1 species
GCUGGUGUAGCACAGUCGGUAGUGCAUUCGAUUCGUAAUCGAAAGGUCAGGGGUUCGAUUCCCCUCACCAGCUCCA